rnacentral:rRNA from 1 species
GACAAACGCUGGCAGCGUGCCUAACACAUGCAAGUCGAACGAGAAAGUCGGCUUCGGCCGAUGAGUACAGUGGCGCACGGGUGAGUAACACGUGGGUAACCUACCCUUUGGUGGGGGAUAACACAUCGAAAGGUGUGCUAAUACCGCAUGACACGGCGCUGUUUAUUAUGGUGUCGUCAAAGAUGGCGAAAGCUGUCGCCGAAAGAUGGGCCCGCGGACCAUUAGCUUGUUGGUAGGGUAAUGGCCUACCAAGGCGACGAUGGUUAGCUGGUCUGAGAGGAUGUCCAGCCACACUGGAACUGGAACACGGUCCAGACUCCUACGGGUGGCAG